UCGAACAACAGAACCGAAAAUUCUAGGUCCAAAUCGACAUGGCCCAGGACCCUUGAGGUCCUUAGGAAUAUUGAGCAAGGCGAUGAGAGACCCAUUGGAAGACUGGGGUUGGGGGGGGGUUAGCUGGCGAUGGUCGGAGAAGAAGGCGAUUGACAGAGUUUGGAGUUAGGUUAGAGAGAGGAGAAAAUAUGAGAGCAUCUGAAGGCGGC
rnacentral:lncRNA from 1 species